AUAGGUGCCCAGGCUCCCCUCUCUGCCCCUGGGCUGAACUGCCUCUCCAAGGAAGGGGCGGGGUUUGCCCUUACUCAGCCCUCACGUUCACUCUUACUCCUUCCCUUUUUCUUUGAAGGGAAUGCUGUACAGCGGGAAAGAAGUUGCUCCAAAGGAAGAACAUUGAUUCAGGGCGAAAAGUAGCCUCUCCUUCCAUCCCAGGCGCCAUCAUAAAUGCUCACGAGUUCCAACAGAGCGGCUGGAGCAGGAGCCGGUGGAGACGGAACCAGGAGCUUGGCCAAGGGAAGCUCGUUUCUGGCAAAUCUCCCGCCCUUCGCAAACAAUUUUCUUUGGACGCCUUUCUUUCCUUCCUGUUCCCUAACCCCUAUUUAAACCUGAAGGUGCCCCAUGCCUUCACAGCUCUAGCCGUAUGUGAGCAGGACUAGGCUGAGUGGGGCAAGAAGCACAGAACCAGAUCUGUCAUCCUACGUCACCACCUGCGAGCUGCUUUGUGGCUUAUGGAGCCGGUCUUGGGAUGAUUGUUUCCAGAAGAGCAUUCUGUCUAGGUGACGAAAGGACCCAGAAGCCUGGGGAAAGCAGAGUGGUACUUGGGGUGUCACUUGAUGGACAAUCACAUUAUGUUGAGACCCUGUGUUCAAUCUGUAGUACCUACGUCCCUGUCCAAAGAAAAGAGAGCUGCAGAUCUACAGCAGUCAUUGAUAUGUUUCGUAAAAUGAGCCUGGCCGUUGCUAGGUAACUGUUGGGCGGGGCCUAGAAGAAAAGAAGAAAUGCUAACAGUCAUGGUCUUAUCUCUUUCCCAGCGAGUCCUU
rnacentral:lncRNA from 1 species